rnacentral:other from 1 species
AUUCCUGGAAUGUUCGACAACUCUUACCUUAUUUGAACCUACAGUAUGACAUAAGGGAUUCCAAUAUUUUUAGGCGGAUGUCAGGCCUCCUUUGAGUGGAAGACAGAAGUCUAAGUGCGGUUGCCCACCUAGCAAGGCUAGGCGUCAAUUAGUAAGAACCGGCAUUUUGGGAUU